rnacentral:rRNA from 1 species
GACGAACGCUGGCGGCGUGCUUAACACAUGCAAGUCGAACGAAGUGGCGAACGGGUGAGUAACGCGUAAUCAACCUGCCCUUCAGAGGGGGACAACAGUUGGAAACGACUGCUAAUACCGCAUACGGAAGGAGGGGAUUGCGUCGGAUUAGCUAGUUGGAGGGGUAAUGGCCCACCAAGGCGAUGAUCAGUAGCCGGUUUGUAAGGAUGAACGGGCACAUUGGGACGGGUUCACGGCCCAGGCGCCUACGGGUGGCAGCAGUGGGGAAUCUUCCGCAAUGGACGAAAGGCUGAAGGAACAACUCCGCGUGAGUGAUGACGGCCUUCGGGUUGGAAAGCUAUGUUAAUCGGGGCGCGGUACCGGAAUAGAAAGCCACGGCUAACUACGUGCCAGCCGCCGCGGUAAUAC